CCUACGGGUGGCUGCAGUUGGGAAUCUUGCACAAUGGGGGAAACCCUGAUGCAGCGACGCCGCGUGGAGGACGAAGGGUCUAGGCUCGUAAACUCCUUUUCUCAGGAAAGACUUAGGACGGUACCUGAGGAAUAAGCACCGGCUAACUACGUGCCAGCAGCCGCGGUGAGACGUAGGGUGCAAGCGUUGUCCGGAUUUACUGGGCGUAAAGCGCGCGUAGGCGGUCUGUUAAGUGUAGAGUGAAAGCUCCGGGCUCAACCCGGAAAUUGCUCUGC
rnacentral:rRNA from 1 species